CAGUAGCCGCGGUAAUACAGAGGGUGCGAGCGUUAAUCGGAUUUACUGGGCGUAAAGCGUGCGUAGGCGGCUUCUUAAGUCGGAUGUGAAAUCCCUGAGCUUAACUUAGGAAUUGCAUUCGAUACUGGGAAGCUAGAGUAUGGGAGAGGAUGGUAGAAUUUCAGGUGUAGCGGUGAAAUGCGUAGAGAUCUGGAGGAAUACCGAUGGCGAAGGCAGCCAUCUGGCCUAAUACUGACGCUGAGGUACGAAAGCAUGGGGAGCAAACAGGAUUAGAUACCCGCGUAGUCCCUGUCUCUUAUAC
rnacentral:rRNA from 1 species